rnacentral:rRNA from 1 species
GACGAACGCUGGCGGCGUGCUUAACACAUGCAAGUCGAACGGUAAGGCCCUUCGGGGUACACGAGUGGCGAACGGGUGAGUAACACGUGGGUGAUCUGCCCUGCACUUCGGGAUAAGCCUGGGAAACUGGGUCUAAUACCGGAUAGGACUCCUGCCUGCAUGGGUGGGGGUGGAAAGCUUUUGCGGUGUGGGAUGGGCCCGCGGCCUAUCAGCUUGUUGGUGGGGUGAUGGCUUGCCAAGGCGACGACGGGUAGCCGGCCUGAGAGGGUGACCGGCCACACUGGGACUGAGAUACGGCCCAGACUCCUACGGGAGGCAGCAGUGGGGAAUAUUGCACAAUGGGCGCAAGCCUGAUGCAGCGACGCCGCGUGAGGGAUGACGGCCUUCGGGUUGUAAACCUCUUUCAGCACAGACGAAGCGCAAGUGACGGUAUGUGCAGAAGAAGGACCGGCCAACUACGUGCCAGCCGCCGCAGUAA